rnacentral:rRNA from 1 species
GAUCAAGCGCGAUAAGGGCGUUUGGUGGAUGCCUUGGCAGCAAGAGGCGAUGAAGGACGUGGCACUCUGCGAUAAGCCCGGGGGAGGCGAGAGCACCCUUUGAUCCCGGGAUGUCCGAAUGGGGAAACCCACCUGACACUGCGUUAUUGACUGGCUUCGUCAGUCAAUAACGGGGUGAACCAGGUACUUUCGACCUGAACACAUAGGGUUGAAAGAGCGAACGCGGGGAACUGAAACAUCUCAGUACCCGUAGGAAAGGAAAUCAAUCGAUACUCCCCCAGUAGCGGCGAGCGAACGGGGACCAGCCGAGCCCAAGACGUGAGCAGAACCGGAUGGAAAGCCGGGCGAGACGGGUGACAGCCCCGUAUGCGAAGCGUCGCGGGACGUAUCAAGUAGGGCGGGACACGUGAAAUCCUGUCUGAACAUGGGGGGACCACCCUCCAAGCCUAAG